rnacentral:rRNA from 1 species
UCCAGACUCCUACGGGAGGCAGCAGUGGGGAAUAUUGCACAAUGGGGGGAACCCUGAUGUAGCGACGCCGCGUGGGUGAGGAAGUACUUCGGUAUGUAAAGCCCUAUCAGCAGGGAAGAAAAUGACGGUACCUGACUAAGAAGCCCCGGCUAACUACGUGCCAGCAGCCGCGGUAAUACGUAGGGGGCAAGCGUUAUCCGGAUUUAUUGGGUUUAAAGGGUGCGUAGGCGGAAUAUCAAGUCAGCGGUAAAAAUUCGGGGCUCAACCCCGUCGUGCCGUUGAAACUGAUGUUCUUGAGUGGGCGAGAAGUAUGCGGAAUGCGUGGUGUAGCGGUGAAAUGCAUAGAUAUCACGCAGAACUCCGAUUGCGAAGGCAGCGUACCGGCGCCCAACUGACGCUGAAGCACGAAGGCGUGGGUAUCGAACAGGAUUAGAUACCCUUGUA